rnacentral:rRNA from 1 species
UCCUGUUGAUCCUGCAGGAGAUUGCUGCUAUCAGGGUUCGACUAAGCCAUGCAAGUCCAGGGGUUCUUUGAACACCGGCAAACUGCUCAGUAACACGUUGAUAAUCUGCCCUUAGAUCUGGGAUAACCUUGGGAAACUGAGGCCAAAACCGGAUAGGAGAUUCGUUCUGGAAAGAAAAAUCCUCCAAAGGCAACGUCUAAGGAUGAGUCAGCGGCCGAUUAGGUUGUUGGUGGGGUAAAGGCCCACCAAGUCUACGAUCGGUAGGGGCCUUGAGAGAGGUAGCCCCGAGAAGGGAACUGAGAUACAGUCCCUAGCCCCACGGGGUGCAGCAGGCGCGAAACCUCUACAAUGCACGAAAGUGUGAUAGGGGGACCCUGAGUGCUCAGCUAUGCUGGGCUUUUGCCAAGAGUAAAAAUCUUGGAGAAUAAGUGGUGGGUAAGACUGGUGCCAGCCGCCGCGGUAACACCAGCGCCACAAGUGGUAAUCGUUUUUAUUGGGCCUAAAGCGUCCGUAGCAGGUUUUGUAAAUUUCUUGUGAAAUUGUUGUGCUCAACACAACAGCGUGCAAGAAAAACUGCAAAACUAGGGACCAGGAGGAGUCAGAGGUAUUUUUUGGGGAGCGGUAAAAUGCUAUAAUCCAAGAAGGACCACCUAUGGCGAAGGCAUCUGACUAGAAUGGAUCCGACUGUGAGGGACGAAAGCUAGGGGAGCGAACCGGAUUAGAUACCCGAGUAGUCCUAGCUGUAAACUCUGCGAGCUAGGUGUUGUAUAAUCCACGAGAUUGUGCAGUAUCGAAGCGAAGGCGAUAAGCUCGCCGCCUGGGAAGUACGGUCGCAAGGCUGAAACUUAAAGGAAUUGGCGGGGGAGCACUACAAGGGGUGCGGCGUGCGGUUUAAUCUAACUCCUCACAGAGAAUCUCACCAGAAGCGACGGCAGGAUGAAAGUCAGAUUGAAGGUUUUACUUGACGAGCCGAGAGGUGGUGCAUGGCCGCCGUCAGCUCGUGCCGUGAGGUGUCCAGUUAAGUCUGGUAACGAGCGAGACCUGCGUUCACAAUUGCUAACGGGUACUUUUGUAUGACUGAGCACAUUGUGGGGACUGCCUUGGAAACGAGGAGGAAGGUGCAGGCAACGGUAGGUCUGUAUGCCCCGAAUCUUCUGGGCUACACGCGCGCAACAAUGGUAAGGACAAUGGGUUACGACUCCGAAAGGAGGAGUUAAACCUCGAAACCUUAUCCAAGUCCAGAUUGAGGAUUGUAACUCAUCCUCAUGACGAUGGAAUCCCUAGUAAUCGGAAGUUAUCAGCUUUCGGUGAAUACGUCCCUGCUCCUUGCACACACCGCCCGUCAAACCACUCGAGCAGGGUUUAGAUGAGGCUUAGUUUCUUGAUUAAGUCGAAUCUAAGCUCAGUGAGAAGGGUUAAGUCGUCACAAGGUA